UACGGGGGGGGCAAGCGUUGUUCGGAAUUACUGGGCGUAAAGGGCUCGUAGGCGGCCAACUAAGUCAGACGUGAAAUCCCUCGGCUUAACCGGGGAACUGCGUCUGAUACUGGAUGGCUUGAGUGUGGGAGAGGGAUGCGGAAUUCCAGGUGUAGCGGUGAAAUGCGUAGAUAUCUGGAGGAACACCGGUGGCGAAGGCGGCAUCCUGGACCGGCAUUGACGCUGAGGCGCGAAAGCCAGGGGAGCAAACGGG
rnacentral:rRNA from 1 species